rnacentral:rRNA from 1 species
GACGUAGGGCGCGAGCGUUGUCCGGAUUUAUUGGGCGUAAAGAGCUCGUAGGCGGCUUGUCGCGUCGACCGUGAAAACUCGCAGCUCAACUGACGAGCCUGCGGUCGAUACGGGCAGGCUAGAGUUCGGUAGGGGAGACUGGAAUUCCUGGUGUAGCGGUGAAAUGCGCAGAUAUCAGGAGGAACACCGAUGGCGAAGGCAGGUCUCUGGGCCGAUACUGACGCUGAGGAGCGAAAGCGUGGGGGAGCGAACAGG